AUGAAGAAGGCAAAGACAAAGAGUAGUAAGAAAAAGAUGAAGGAAAGAGUAUAUUUUGACCCUUCAAUUCCCAAUUCACAUUUACUCUUGUGCAAGAGCUUGUGUUUUGAUUCUGUUUACCAGUUCAGAGAAGCAUUAAGAGAUUUUCAUAUAAGGACUUUGAGGUCUUUUCACUACCACAGGAACACUCCAACAAGAAUUAUUGUUUGGUGUUCACAGAGAGAGCAUGGAUGUGAAUUUUACAUCUGUGCCUCCAGGAUAGCUCAUGAAAGAACAUUUUGCAUUAAGAAGUGUAACAUGGAGCACACUUGUCCAGCAUCAGCAGAGAACACAAAAGUUACUACUAAGUGGCUUUCCAAAGAAGUUGAGCAAUCUCUUAGAGCAGAUCCUAGAGCACCUGUGGAUUCACUUAUUAAAAACAGCAAAGUCAAGUUUUCAGUUGAUGUAUCAAAGAGUGUGGCCUAUAGGGCAAGGAGGAAGGCUAUGAAGGUUGUACAAGGUGACCAGAAGGAGCAGUACUAUAGACUGAGGGACUACCUACAAGCAGUUCUUGACACAAACCCUGGUAGCAGGUGUGUAGUUACAACAUUUGAGGACCCAGAAAACCCUGCCCCAACACCUAGAUUUAAGUACAUGUUCUACUGCUUGCAUGCAUCAAAGCAAGGAUUUCUUAAUGGUUGCAGGCCCUUUAUAGGGCUUGAUGGUUGCUUCAUCAAGCUAACCACUGGACAGCAAAUACUUGCAGCCACAGGAAGAGAUGGCAAUAACAACAUCUACCCCAUAGCCUUUGGUGUGGUUGAUAAGGAAGAUUCAGAUAGUUGGACAUGGUUCCUAACCCAGCUAAGAUGUUGCAUUGGAAGUGGUAGCAAAUUUGGAACCUACACCAUUAUUUCUGACAGGCAAAAGGUAUGCACCCUAUCUUAG
rnacentral:rRNA from 1 species